GGGUGUGUAGCUCAGUGGUAGAGCACUUGCCCAGUAUGUAUAAGGCCCUGGGUUCAAUCUCCCCACCGCAGCCA
rnacentral:tRNA from 1 species